AAAGGCCAUCUUUGUUGUUGGGAAGCAGCAGUGGAGACAUUUUCUUACAGAAGCGAGAAAAUUGUACUUCAGAGUGAGUGAAACUUGUGAGAUGUUAGAUGAUUGCCAGAGAUUCAUAUUUUUUCAAGGACCUCUUGAGAAUGUUAGCUGUCGUCCUAAUUUCCACUUGUGUAGUGAGCUCAAGAUGACUCGAAAUGACAUUUGAUUAUGACAUUUGAUUAAACAGACACAGACUGAAUCUCAAUCUACCUAGCUGUUGCUGUGUGCCUAAUCUAGAAUUAUGGUCAACCAAUAUUGUGACACAGACUGAAUCUCAAUCUACCUAGCUGUUGCUGUGUGCCUAAUCUAGAAUUAUGGUCAACCAAUAUUGUGACACAGACUGAAUCUCAAUCUACCUAGCUGUUGCUGUGUGCCUAAUCUAGAUUUAUGAUCAACCGAUAUUGUGCUUUCCACUUGGCUGUCAGUAAAGAGCUUCUUCUCUUGGAAAAUCUUUUCCAGUUCUUUGGAGUCAGACUUUGUCUUCAGAAGCCACUGCUCCAGGAUAUCUAGCGGAUAGUUUAACAGUUUACACACGGCAAGCACCCGAAUCUUCCAAUACAACAUCACAAACUGUUUACCUUGAGGAUCGUCGAGUUUUUUUAUCACAGCUCCCAAAUUUGAAAAGACCUCCCAAAAACACGUGUUAUGUUUGGAAGGAUUCACAUCUUUUAACUGCGGGGCUAUUCUGGUUAUCUCACCAACAUUGCAAAGCUGGUAGAAUCUCGUUCUACCUAUGUUAAAGCUGUCGGAUACGAAUCUUUCCAGUUUUGCUGUGCUGCAGGCGUCUUUGUCUUGCGAGCAGCGUCUUAGAUUGCAGAGGAUAGCAGCAAUGCUAAUUUGAAAAGAAAAGAAUUGAGGACAAGUUUUAAAUAGAGACUUUACGUGACUAACCAAAUCACACAUCGGACAGUCUGGGAUAUCGCAAGCUGAACCUAUGUUGUCUUUGAUGGUUGGCUGGCUUUCAUUAGGAUUCGUGUACCUACACUGUCUUGUGCACCUGCACAAGACCUUAAUAUUUUGCGAGUCCAAGUAAGAGAUCAGUGCUGUGUUUAUCCUGGUUCUGUCGGUGUUAUAUGUGAAGGCAGGCGAUGAGCAGAUUGCAGAGUUGGGACCAACUUUUGAUAAAAAACUUGCAGCUUUCUCAAAGUGCAACUUCUGCAAUGUCUCCCAAUCAUCCCUGUCAAUGCCAAGCAUUCGGGCAGCUUUGUUCAGCAUUGCAAGUAGCUGCUCUUCCUCAGUCAAGGAAAUCACCUUAGAAGCCUUUGAAUCCUCCGGAAUUGCUGCUUUUGCUGCUGUGGAUGCCGUUGCCCCUGAUGUAGAGGCUUCCCCUGAUGUAGCUGGCAUUGUACCUUCAGCUACAGGCAAUGACGCUGCAGACGAUGGCCGUGCCUUCCCCUUGGAUUCAGCUGAUUCCUUGAAGUGAGUCAUCUUGGAAGUAAGCUUUGAGGUAAGCAGUUUUUCAUUUUGUGAAUUUUCUAAUGGCCGGCCAUCGCCCAUCACUUCUUUGACAAUUCGAUCGGACAUCAACUGCGAGCUUUGCUCGUCAGCCUCAGCUUCACCUUCACUAACAUCUUCUUCGCUUGAAGGCAAGUGGCUUACACGUCUUUUCUGGACAAACUCGCUUAGCUCCCGGAGGGAUUCUUUUCCGAGAGGUUUGAAUUUAAGAAAAUCUAUACCAUACCUAGGGAGAAAUUAAGACUUUUUGUAACUAGCACUUUUUUAAAUUCUGGAGAUAAUGGAGAAGGCUGCCAUCCAUCCGAAAUGCGCUUUGCAAAAUGAAAUAACAAACAUGGAAUAACAUUAUAGUCAAGUCCAAAUUAUAUAGUAUUCAGCAUAGGUAGGAUGAAAUUCAAGAAACGCAAUACACUGAUAAUAUCAAAUGAUUGUAUUUUGAAAGCUAAUCUUCAUUUUUUGUUAGUAGUGCAGAACGAAAACUAUACAGUAUGUAUGUUUAUGACAAGAAAACAGCGUUAGGUAGAAUGAGAUUAACAUGAAUUGAGUGUUCAUAAUAACAUAAAGCUAUGGAGAUUUCACGCUAAAAAUUUCAUUUUUCUUUUCUAGACAUUUUCCAGCCCUGAUGAAGUUGCACUCACCGGUACAUAGCUUCCUGAAGACGUACAUUACUCCUUCCAAGUGCCUGUUUGAUGUUGAUAGAUGACAACCUGCUGUACGCCAGCUCCGUGACUGUAAGGCUUGUUUUCUCAAUUACAUCUUGGGAACAGAGGGACAAGACGUCUUCCUUGGCAAAUUUCCGAAGCAUCGCAUUUGUUACCUUGCUAGUGCAUGUGACAUUUGUCUCUGUAAAACCCCCAUGCUUGGCCUUGAUGAGCCGGCGUGGAAAUCCGUGUGUUAACUGGACACUUACAUCUGACCAAGAUGGUGCCCCCCAUAUCAUAACAUUGUCAAAUAGGUCUACCCGUGCGCAUUGGAGACAUUGAUCAUAUUCGAGAAUACCAGUUACCAGAGGCUCCAUCUGGUCUGUCGGCUUGCCUGAUUUGAGGAAAAUCUCCCACUUGUUAAGAGAUUUCCUCGCAUCAUCAACAGACUGCUCGUCAGCAGUGUCUCUUGUUGCGUCGAGAAAGCAAGAGUAAUCUUGCUUCCAGCAUCGGAUGCUUGCAUUUAACUGCUCACAACUUUUGAAUGUGUGUGCCUUUGGGUGCGCAGCCGUAGGCCGUUUGUUGUUUCCUUGCAGCCUGCACGGUAACUGCAGUGUGUCAUAGACCCGCUUCUUGAAAUCGAAUUCUAGUGGCCCCAUCACCGUUGGUUGCGUGGAAAAUGCAGCAGGAAAGAAGUCAUCGUGUGCUCGAGUGUCUCCAGAAAUUAUACCAGCGUCGCUGUCGCUUUCAUUUGGACUGUCAGAGUGACUGUCUACUUGCAUGUUAUGCUUCUCCUGCAGGUCUUUGACAAAGGCAAGGGCUUCUUCAUGCUCGAUACCAGCCUCGUUCAUCAUGCUGCAAAGACAGACCGAGUUUUAAGGUUAUCAAUCAUAACUUUGUCAUGUUUUUGAACUGUGUUUUUGAUUCGAAAAACUAAACAGAAAAUUGAUAGUGCCCUUAUCCCCUGUCGAAGUUCUAUUGCUUUGAACAAUGGGAAAUUUCCCUUAGAUUAGAUCAGAUUAGACAUUCCCCUCUUCCUGCUCCCCUCCCAACCCCUCUCCUCUUAUCACUAGGUAUGAAGCUUGUUGCUAAAUAUGCUGCCAAGAGACCAUUGAUGCAAUCAUAGGCAUAUGAUAGGGAACGACACAUACAGAUGGGUGUGCAGGUUUAUAGUAAUUCUUUUAUAGGAAGGGUUGCUCAAUUCUCUUAACGAAAGGUGGACUAAGCUAGAAUCACUGUUCAAAUGUAGCUAUCUGUUUGCGCACCCCAAAUUAUUAGGAAAAAGUUGUUAAUGUCACCUUGUUUCUGGCAGCUCCUCCAGCGACAUUGCCGUGUCCGUUAUAAAACUAGGGUGGCUGUUACAACUGUCAUCCUCCUCGUCGUCGCUCAUAGCACUGUCAUGUGCUGCUUGUGCUAUUAUAAAUGAUGAGGCUUUGGACUUCUUUUCUAAAAAGAGGUUAUAUCCAUGAUUAUGUACAGACCUACAUACAAAUAAUCACUUUAGGUGGUGUAGAUUUUUGAUUUGAAUAGUUCUUCUCUUUGUUCUCUAACUGUGACUGGCCUCCUGUUCAGUAGCACAAGAUUUAGCUACGUGUUAUUGAUCAGGUCUUUAAAUGACUUUGUAGAUAUUUCAUAUAAAAGUCGUUAAAAAUGUUGCAUUUUACGUUGAAAUGUUGAUAACGUUUUGAUUAAAGUUUAAAAAUGAUUUUUGUAGAAUAUAUUAGUAAACAAUCUUUGCAAGGUAUCUGUUCAUUGUUGAAAAGUCUUUUUGAAAAGAGGGGAGGGCGGGGGGAGGGCUUUUUCAAGCGUACCCAGGCGACUGGCAAUAUAGGGCUUUAUAGCUGAUUUACUUACUUGAAAAACUCGCCAUAAAUAUACAUAUCAUAUGUUUGUAUAGAUAAACUUGCACUUGAAAUUAAAUAAGUAAGUUUCAAUUUGUUUUAGCAGUCGUCGAAGAACAAAUGUAGGUAUAUAUUUAUAUAUAUAGAUAUGUGCCUGCUUCAAGAAUUUAAUGAUGAUAAUAAAAAAAUAUUCACGUCUACAUUUGACUGAUAAAAGCAGACCCAGCUUAGCCAUGUUGAUAGCGUUUUGCUUAAAGUUUAAGAGUGAUUUUUGUAGAGUAAAUUGGUAAACAAUCCUUGCAAGGUAUCUGUUCAUUGUUGAAAAGUCUUUUUGAAAAGAGGGGAGGGCGGGGGGAGGUCUUUUUCAAGCGUACCCAGGCGACUGGCAAUAUAGGGCUUUAUUGCUGAUUUACUUACUUGAAAAACUCGCCAUAAAUAUACAUAUCAUAUGUUUGUAUAGAUAAACUUGCACUUGAAAUUAAAUAAGUAAGUUUCAAUUUGUUUUGGCAGUCGUCAAUGAACAAAUGUAGGUAUAUAUUUAUAUAUAUAGAUAUGUGCCUGCUUUAAGAAUUUAAUGAUGAUAAUAAAAAAAUAUUCACGUCUACAUUUGACUGAUAAAAGCAGACCCAGCUUAGCCAUGUUGAUAGCGUUUUGCUUAAAGUUUAAGAGUGAUUUUUGUAGAAUACAUUGGUAAACAAUC